UGCCUGUUCGAGCGUCAUUAUAACCCUCAAGCCUAGCUUGGUAUUGAGGUCGCUAUCCAGCGGCCCCUAAAAUCAGUGGCGGUGCCUGUAGGUUCUACGCGUAGUAAUUUUUCUCGCUAUGGAUCCCUAUAGGCACUUGCCAAUAACCCCAAAUUUUUCAGGUUGACCUCGGAUCAGGUAGGGAUACCCGCUGAACUUAA
rnacentral:misc_RNA from 1 species